rnacentral:rRNA from 1 species
GACGAGGGGGUCCAAGCGUUUGUUCGGAAUCAUUGGGCGUAAAGCGGGUGUAGGUGGCUUUGUAAGUCAGGAGUGAAAUCCCCCGAGCUUAACUUGGGAAGUGCUUUUGAAACUGCAGAGCUUGAAUGUGGGAGAGGAUCGUGGAAUUCCAGGUGUAGUGGUGAAAUACGUAGAUAUCAGGAGGAACACCGGUGGCGAAGGCGGGUCUCUGGGCCGAAAAUUGACGCUGAGGAGCGAAAGCGUGGGGGAGCAAACAGG